AUCGGAACACAGGUGCUGCAUGGCUGUCGUCAGCUCGUGUCGUGAGAUGUUGGGUUAAGUCCCGCAACGAGCGCAACCCUUGUCCUUAGUUGCUACGCAAGGGCACUCUAAUGAGACUGCCGGUGACAAACCGGAGGAAGGUGGGGAUGACGUCAAGUCCUCAUGGCCCUUAUGGGUAGGGCUUCACACGUCAUACAAUGGUCGGUACAGAGGGUUGCCAAGCCGCGAGGUGGAGCCAAUCCCACAAAGCCGAUCGUAGUCCGGAUUGUUCUCUGCAACUCGAGAGCAUGAAGUCGGAAUCGCUAGUAAUCGCAGGUCAGCAUGCUGCGGUGAAUACGUUCCCGG
rnacentral:rRNA from 1 species